rnacentral:rRNA from 1 species
UACGGAGGGUGCGAGCGUUGUCCGGAAUCACUGGGCGUAAAGGGUGCGUAGGCGGCUCUUUAAGUCAGGGGUGAAAUCCUGGAGCUCAACUCCAGAACUGCCUUUGAUACUGAAGAUCUUGAGUUCGGGAGAGGUGAGUGGAACUGCGAGUGUAGAGGUGAAAUUCGUAGAUAUUCGCAAGAACACCAGUGGCGAAGGCGGCUCACUGGCCCGAUACUGACGCUGAGGCACGAAAGCGUGGGGAGCAAACAGG